rnacentral:lncRNA from 1 species
GUUUAAUAAAUUGCCUUGCUGGUGGUGAUGGUUGGCAGCAGCACAUUUCCGGCAGAAUAAAAACAAAGCAAGCACGACACCGGAAAUGGCCACGGGAAAGAAAGUUAAAAAAAAAAAAAAAAAAGAUCUGAACGCAGUCAAAACAUAAACACAGCAGCAGAAGCACGUAGCCUGGUGCAGACGCAGUUAGCUCGCUUCGUACUCCGUUUCCGCAAGCCUCCCUCAUGCCUCUUAUUUCCCACCAGAGACAUCAAACUCGAGGCACUUAGCCCGUUUUUCGAUGAACGGCGUGCGGACAGUAACAAAUCUGCGGUAAAGAUUAGGACUGAACUCAGGAGUGCGCUUCGUCGGGCCUUCGCUUCGCAGAGGUUGCCCCGCGCAGCAUAAUCAGGAAGAGAGGAUGGCUGAGGCAGACGAUAAAUCCACAGUGCUUAACGGUGGCACAGAAGAAAAAGACCCAGAGGAGGAUCAGCACAAAGAUGGAGAUUCCUCUGGAAGCAAAGAGGGACAAGCACAGUCUUCAAAUGCAGACGCUCCAAAAGAACCCGGAGAGGGCUCGGCGGACAAGCCGAUGCCUGACGCGGAGGCAGGAGGGGACGGCAACAACAACAACGAGGACGCAGAGAACGAGGAGGACACGGACAGUAUGGACGGCAGCGGGCUGUACUCUUUAACUGAGGACGGAGAGCGAGAGAGCGAAGGAGGCAGGCGGGAGCGGACCAGGGCCAAAGACGCUGCUAAAAGAGCUGCGCGAAAGAGGAACCGGCCAGGAGGGGGCGCUAACCACUCCUCCAGCUCCGACGACGACGAUGAGGAGGAAGACGACGAGGAACAAAAAGAUGUAAGUGUUGAAUGUUGCUUGGAGAGUAUGGGCCUUUAUUAGUAUUAGCUCCUAAAUUUAGAAA